GUGAGGAAUAUUGCGCAAUGGAGGCAACUCUGACGCAGCCAUGCCGCGUGCAGGAAGAAGGCGCUACGCGUUGUAAACUGCUUUUAACCGGGAAGAAACCCCAGGACGUGUCCUGGGUUGACGGUACCGGAGGAAUAAGCACCGGCUAACUUCGUGCCAGCAGCCGCGGUAAUACGAAGGGUGCAAGCGUUAUCCGGAUUCAUUGGGUUUAAAGGGUGCGUAGGCGGAGCGUUAAUUCAGUGGUGAAAUCCUGCAGCUUAACUGUAGACUUGCCAUUGAUACUGGCGCUCUUGAGUGCGCUUGAAGUGGGCGGAAUGUGCCGUGUAGCGGUGAAAUGCUUAGAUAUGGCACAGAACACCAAUUGCGAAGGCAGCUCACUAAGGCGAUACUGACGCUGAGGCACGAAAGCGUGGGGAUCGAACAGGAUUAGAUACCCGGGUAGUCC
rnacentral:rRNA from 1 species